rnacentral:rRNA from 1 species
AUCGGGUAAUGCCGGGCGACUCUGGAAGGACUGCCAUCGACAAGAUGGAGGAAGGUGGGGAGUGACGUCAAGUCAUCAUGGCCCUUAUGUCCAGGGCGACACACGUGCUACAAUGGCCGGCACAACGGGAAGCGAGUUCGCGAGGACGAGCGGAUCCCUCAAAGCCGGUCGCAGUUCGGAUUGAAGUCUGCAACUCGACUUCAUGAAGCUGGAAUCGCUAGUAAUCGUGGAUCAGCCAAGCCGCGGUGAAUACGUUCCCGGGCCUU